rnacentral:rRNA from 1 species
UACGUAGGGUGCGAGCGUUGUCCGGAAUUACUGGGCGUAAAGAGCUCGUAGGUGGUUUGUCGCGUUGUUCGUGAAAACUCACAACUCAAUUGUGGGCGUGCGGGCGAUACGGGCAGACUGGAGUACUGCAGGGGAGACUGGAAUUCCUGGUGUAGCGGUGAAAUGCGCAGAUAUCAGGAGGAACACCCGGUGGCGAAGGCGGGUCUCUGGGCCGAUACUGACGCUGAGGAGCGAAAGCGUGGGGAGCGAACAGG